ACUGUGGCCAUCCCAAGGCAACCGGCCUUCAGCAAACUCACGCAGCUUGGCGAAGACGACGAGCUGUUGCAGGGUGGCAAAAAAAUUUGUUCUUGGUCGGUGCGUCAUCGGAUCAAACCCCAAAUGGAUGAGCUUCUUCUUCAGAGAUAGAAGAGGGAAAUAGAGGACCUGCAAGUUUUGGAAGGGCUCUCCAACUGCCAUGGCCGUGCUUCUCGAUGUACUGCACCAGCUUGUGGUCCUCUUCAGGAGUCCAAGGACCCUUCUUGAGGCCAUUGAUCUUGUCAUCGCCGCAAGGAGAUCUCCCCAUUCGAGACCUGCACAGAUUAAGAAACGUUUUCUGUAUUGACAUCCCAAAGUAUGGUUUACCGGGAAAUUGUCUCAUUCUUGUUAUCUUCCUUGCCCUCUAACAAGGGAAAUGAACUAAAUCAAAUGGAAGGCUUGCAACUUGCAAAUCAUUGAACUCCUGAGAUUGAUGAGGCUCUAGUGGCCAUGGAGCUCAGCCUGCAAGGGCUUGAGAUGGAGAGGAGGGU